GAUAUUUUAAUUUGUACGAUAUUUCACUGAGUAAAAGGGUUGGAAGCAGAGAUACAAGUGGAGAGUAAAGGUCCUCAACUUAGAAAAACAGAUGAGGAAAGCAUUUAAAAAACUGUAUUUUCAGAUAUAUAGUUAAAACCAACCAACCUCGACAGCUUUGCAGGAGAGUCCGCUUAUGUGCUUAACAGGUGAGCGAGUGCUGUGCUUUCAUGGGCCUCUUCUUUAUGAAGCAAAGUGUGUAAAGGUUGCCAUAAAGGACAAACAAGUGAAAUACUUCAUACAUUACAGUGGUUGGAAUAAAAAUUGGGAUGAGUGGGUUCCGGAGAGCAGAGUACUCAAAUACGUGGACACCAAUUUGCAGAAACAGCGAGAACUUCAAAAAGCCAAUCAGUAAGUUUGUUUUGUGAACUGAAUAUUAAGGAGAAAUGCCUGUAGAUUAAUUCUGGACAUGGAAUGAACAAUGGAGAUCAUGUUGGCUGCCCUGCCUAUAAAAUGAUUCCUGGUACCUUUCAGCUGCUGUGUUACAGCUUUGACUUCAAGUGAUCAAGCCAUAUCUAGGGAGCAGUAUGCAGAGGGGAAGAUGAGAG
rnacentral:sRNA from 1 species